rnacentral:rRNA from 1 species
UACGGAGGGUGCAAGCAUUAAUCGGAUUUAUUGGGCGUAAAGGGCGCGUAGGCUGGUUUGUAAGUCAGAUGUGAAAUCCCGGGGCUCAACCUCGGAACAGCAUUUGAAACUGCAUACCUAGAGGGUAGGCGGAGAAAACGGAAUUCCACAAGUAGCGGUGAAAUGCGUAGAUAUGUGGAAGAACACCGGUGGCGAAGGCGGUUUUCUAGCUUACUCCUGACGCUGAGGCGCGAAAGCAAGGGGAUCAAAC